GACAGAGGGGGCGAGCGUUGCUCGGAAUCACUGGGCGUAAAGGGCGCGUAGGCGGGAUGGCAAGUCGGUCGUGAAAUCCUUCGGCUCAACCGAAGAACGUCGGCCGAUACUGCCGUUCUUGAGGGAUGCAGAGGAGAUUGGAAUUCCCGGUGUAGCGGUGAAAUGUGUAGAGAUCGGGAGGAACACCGGUGGCGAAGGCGGGUCUCUGGGCAUCUCCUGACGCUGAGGCGCGAAAGCGUGGGGAGCAAACGGG
rnacentral:rRNA from 1 species